rnacentral:tRNA from 1 species
GAGGAUUUAGCUUAAUUAAAGUGAUUGAUUUGCAUUCAGUAGAUGUAGGAUAGAUUCUUGCAGUCCUUA